UGGGGAAUAUUGGACAAUGGGCGCAAGCCUGAUCCAGCCAUGCCGCGUGCAGGAAGAAGGCGUUAUGCGUUGUAAACUGCUUUUGCCAGGGGAUAAAAAGACCGUGCGCGGUUAAUUGAAGGUACCUGGUGAAUAAGCCACGGCUAACUACGUGCCAGCAGCCGCGGUAAUACGUAGGUGGCAAGCGUUGUCCGGAUUUAUUGGGUUUAAAGGGUGCGUAGGUGGCCCUGUAAGUCAGUGGUGAAAUAUCUCAGCUUAACUGAGAGGGUGCCAUUGAUACUGCAGGGCUUGAGUACAGAUGAGGUAGGCGGAAUUGACGGUGUAGCGGUGAAAUGCAUAGAUAUCGUCAAGAACACCGAUAGCGAAGGCAGCUUACCAAGCUGUAACUGACACUGAGGCACGAAAGUGUGGGGAUCAAACAGGAUUAGAUACCCACGUAGUCCCUGAGCGGGCUGGCAAGGCGCAU
rnacentral:rRNA from 1 species